UACAUGGGGUGCAAACGUUGCUCGGAAUUAUUGGGCGUAAAGCGCACGUAGGCGGUUCGUUAAGUCGGAUGUGAAAGCCCUCGGCUCAACUGAGGAAGUGCACCCGAAACUGGCGAGCUUGAGUACGAAAAGAGGAUCGCGGAAUUCCCGGUGUAGAGGUGAAAUUCGUAGAUAUCGGGGAGGAACACCGGUGGCGAAGGCGGCGAUCUGGGUCGAUACUGACGCUGAGGUGCGAAAGCGUGGGGAGCAAACAGG
rnacentral:rRNA from 1 species